AAGACUAUAGACCUGCGGAGUACCUGCGGAGGGAUCAUUCACAAUAAGUGUUCAAUGGCACUUUAAAAUCCAUUACCCACCUUGUGUGCAAUGUAAGGAGGAGGGGUGUCACAACACCCCUCUUUCAUUAUACAUACCAAUCUUCUCUUGUUGUCUAACUUUUUGAGUAUAAAAAAACUCGAAUACAACUUUUAACAACGGAUCUCU
rnacentral:misc_RNA from 1 species